rnacentral:misc_RNA from 1 species
GGAAGGAUCAUUAUUGAAUGAAUAUAGAGUUUGGGUUGUAGCUGGCCUGCCAAAGGCAUGUGCACACCUUUUCUCUUUCAUCCACACACCCCAUUGUGCACUUGUGAGACGGAGGCUUGUUUUGUCCCUCUUUUAAUUAGGGGGGAUUGGGUUUCCGUCUGCCAUCAUACAAACUCAUUUAUUUAAACUGGAAUGUAAUUGAUGUUUAACGCAUCUAUAUACUAAGUUUCAACAACGGAUCUCUUGGCUCUCGCAUCGAUGAAGAACGCAGCGAAAUGCGAUAAGUAAUGUGAAUUGCAGAAUUCAGUGAAUCAUCGAAUCUUUGAACGCACCUUGCGCUCCUUGGUAUUCCUUGGAGCAUGCCUGUUUGAGUAUCAUGAAAUUCUCAAAGCAAAGUCUUUUUUUUCUUUGCUUUGGACUUGGGGGUCUGCAGAUUUUAAACAAGUCUGCUCCUCUUAAAUGCAUUAGCUGGAUCUCAGUGAACUUGGUUCCACUCGGCGUGAUAAGUUAUCACUCGCUGAGGACACCCUUGAAAUAAAAGGUGGCCAAGGUUGCAGAUGAACCGCUUCUAAUGGUCCAUUGACUUGGACAAAUAAAUUUAAUGAUCUGAUCUCAAAUCAGGUAGGACUACCCGCUGAACUUAAGCAUAUCAAUAAGCGGAGGAAAAGAAACUAACAAGGAUUCCCCUAGUAACUGCGAGUGAAGCGGGAAGAGCUCAAAUUUAAAAUCUGGCGGUGUAUUCCGUCCGAGUUGUAGUCUAGAGAAGCAUCAUCCGCGCUGGACCAUGUACAAGUCUCUUGGAACAGAGCGUCAUAGAGGGUGAGAAUCCCGUCCUUGACAUGGACUCCCAGUGCUUUGUGUUGUGCUCUCGACGAGUCGAGUUGUUUGGGAAUGCAGCUCAAAAUGGGUGGUAAAUUCCAUCUAAAGCUAAAUAUUGGCGAGAGACCGAUAGCGAACAAGUACCGUGAGGGAAAGAUGAAAAGCACUUUGGAGAGAGAGUUAAACAGUACGUGAAAUUGUUGAAAUGGAAACGCUUGAAGUCAGUCGCGUUCUCUGGGAUUCAGCCUUGCUUCUGCUUGGUGCAUUUCCUAGUCUACGGGCCAGCAUGGAUUUCGAUCGAUGAAAAAAGGCUUGGGGAAUGUGGCACCUCCGGGUGUGUUAUAGCCCCUGGUCAGACGCGUCGGUCGGGAUCGAGGACCUCAGUGCACGCUUCGGUUGUGCUUUGAUGCUGGCGUAAUGGCUUUAAACGACCCGUCUUGAAACACGGACCAAGGAGUCUAACAUGUCUGCGAGUGUUUGGGUGGAAAACCCGAGCGCGUAAUGAAAGUGAUAGUUGGGAACCUCUCACGAGGGGCACCGACGCCCGGACCAGACCUUCUGUGACGGAUCCGAGGUGGAGCAUAUAUGUUGGGACCCGAAAGAUGGUGAACUAUGCCUGCAUAGGGUGAAGCCAGAGGAAACUCUGGUGGAGGCUCGUAGCGAUUCUGACGUGCAAAUCGAUCGUCAAAUGUGGGUAUAGGGGCGAAAGACUAAUCGAACCAUUGUUGAGUGUGCUACUCGGUGGUUAAGAGGCGUCCGAAAGGAUUUUCAGCCUAGUGAGCGUUGAGGCUUGCGACACUAUCAAAUUGCGGGGACAUCCUAAAGCUUUUGCGACCAAGCACUCUGUGGAAACGCAAGUGUGGCCGAGUUAAUUGCCCUGGGUAUGGUAAAACUGCAAAAGAUGUUACAAUGGACAAUCCGCAGCCAAGUCCUAAGGGCCAUUGCAAAAAUGGUCUAUGGAUGCAGUUCACAGACUAAAUGGUAGUGGGUGUGCAAUUGAAGUUGGAUUUUUUUUUUCUGACUCUUGCAUGCUUAAGAUAUAGUCGGUCCUGCCGCGAAAGCGGACCGGUGGAUGAAGUUCAUGGUCCCUCAACUUAAUGGCCAUUGUUCAGGAGCCACCGGGUGCAGAUUUUAAUUUUAAUUUUAUUCUCUGCAUGGGGUUAAAUGCUAGUAGCUGGUUCCUGC